rnacentral:rRNA from 1 species
AUUCUGGCUCAGGAUGAACGCUGGCGGCGUGCUUAACACAUGCAAGUCGAACGGGAUCCAGGCAGCUUGCUGUCUGGUGAGAGUGGCGAACGGGUGAGUAAUGCGUGACCAACCUGCCCCAUGCUCCGGAAUAGCUCCUGGAAACGGGUGGUAAUGCCGGAUGCUCCGCGCUCCCGCAUGGGAGGGUGGGAAAGUUUUCAAUGGCAUGGGAUGGGGUCGCGUCCUAUCAGCUUGACGGUGGGGUGAUGGCCUACCGUGGCUUCGACGGGUAGCCGGCCUGAGAGGGCGACCGGCCACAUUGGGACUGAGAAUAAGCACCGGCUAACUACGUGCCAGCAGCCGCGGUAAUACGUAGGGUGCAAGCGUUAUCCGGAAUUAUUGGGCGUAAAGGGCUCGUAGGCGGUUCGUCGCGUCCGGUGUGAAAGUCCAUCGCUUAACGGUGGAUCUGCGCCGGGUACGGGCGGGCUGGAGUGCGGCAGGGGAGACUGGAAUUCCCGGUGUAACGGUGGAAUGUGUAGAUAUCGGGAAGAACACCAAUGGCGAAGGCAGGUCUCUGGGCCGUCACUGACGCUGAGGAGCGAAAGCGUGGGGAGCGAACAGGAUUAGAUACCCUGGUAGUCCACGCCGUAAACGGUGGACGCUGGAUGUGGGGCCCUUUCCACGGGUUCCGUGUCGGAGCUAACGCGUUAAGCGUCCCGCCUGGGGAGUACGGCCGCAAGGCUAAAACUCAAAGAAAUUGACGGGGGCCCGCACAAGCGGCGGAGCAUGCGGAUUAAUUCGAUGCAACGCGAAGAACCUUACCUGGGCUUGACAUGUGGAGGAUCGCCGCGGAGACGCGGUUUCCCUUCGGGGCCUCUUCACAGGUGGUGCAUGGUCGUCGUCAGCUCGUGUCGUGAGAUGUUGGGUUAAGUCCCGCAACGAGCGCAACCCUCGCCCCGUGUUGCCAGCACAUGAUGGUGGGAACUCACGGGGGACCGCCGGGGUCAACCCGGAGGAAGGCGGGGAUGACGUCAGAUCAUCAUGCCCCUUACGUCCAGGGCUUCACGCAUGCUACAAUGGCCGGUACAGCGGGAUGCGACAUGGUGACAUGGAGCGGAUCCCUGAAAACCGGUCUCAGUUCGGAUCGGAGCCUGCAACCCGGCUCCGUGAAGGCGGAGUCGCUAGUAAUCGCGGAUCAGCAACGCCGCGGUGAAUGCGUUCCCGGGCCUUGUACACACCGCCCGUCAAGUCAUGAAAGUGGGCAGCACCCGAAGCCGGUGGCCUAACCCGUUCGCGGGGUGGAGCCGUCUAAGGUGAGGCUCGUGAUUGGGACUAAGUCGUAACAAGGUAGCCGUACCGGAAGGUGCGGCUG